CCUACGGGAGGCAGCAGCAAGGGAUAUUGCGACAAUGGGCGAAAGCCUGACGCAGCAACGCCGCGUGCGGGAUGAAGGCCUUCGGGUCGUAAACCGCUUUUCGGGGGGAAGAGGAAGGACGGUACCCCCGGAAGGAGUCUCGGCUAACUACGUGCCAGCAGCCGCGGUAAAACGUAGGAGGCGAGCGUUAUCCGGAUUUACUGGGUGUAAAGCGCGUGCAGGCGGUUUCGUAAGUCGUGCGUGAAAGCGCCCGGCUCAACCGGGCGAGGACGUGCGAAACUGCGAGGCUGGAGGCAGGUAGAGGCGCGUGGAAUUCCGGGUGUAGUGGUGAAAUGCGUAGAGAUCCGGAGGAACACCAGUGGCGAAGGCGGCGCGCUGGGCCUGACCUGACGCUAAGACGCGAAAGCAUGGGGAGCGAACGGGAUUAGAAACCCCGGUAGUCCAUGCUGUAAACGAUGCAGACUAGGUGUUGGGGGUAUCAAGUCCCUCAGUGCCGAAGCCAACGUGAUAAGUCUGCCACCUGGGGACUACGG
rnacentral:rRNA from 1 species